rnacentral:rRNA from 1 species
UACAGAGGGCGCGAGCGUUGUCCGGAAUCACUGGGCGUAAAGGGCGCGUAGGCGGCUUUUCAAGCGUGCGGUGAAAGCUCGGGGCUUAACUCCGAGUCUGCCGUGCGAACUGGGAGGCUUGAGUCUGGUAGAGGUCGAUGGAAUUCCGGGUGUAGCGGUGGAAUGCGUAGAGAUCGGCAGGAACACCCAGGGGGAAACCAGUCGACUGGGCAGCACCUGACGCUGAGGUGCGAGAGCGUGGGGAGCGAACCGG